rnacentral:rRNA from 1 species
UACGAAUGGAGCGAGCGUUGUUCGGAAUCACUGGGCAUUAAGGGCGCGUAGGCGGUCCUGUAAGUCGCGGGUGAAAGCCCACUGCUCAACGGUGGAAGUGCCUGCGAUACUGCAGGGCUAGAGUGCGGGAGAGGAGAGCGGAAUUCCAGGUGGAGCGGUGAAAUGCGUAGAUAUCUGGAAGAACGCCUGUGGCGAAAGCGGCUCUCUGGUCCGUCUCUGACGCUGAGGCGCGAAAGCUAGGGGGAGCAAACAGGAUUAGAAACCCC